GCUUAGUGGCUAGGCAGCCCUGGGUUCAAUCCCUGGUACAAAAAAAAAAGAAUGCUUUUGCCAAAUUUCAAGGGACUAUUAUAAAUGAUAUUUAUAAUUAAUCAAGUUUGCAAAUUUCUCUGUUAUGCAUACAUGGAACCUUAAAAUACUAAAGGUGAUUUCCACAUGCUUCCUAUCUUUGCUGACAUUACUUAAUCCCAAAUUGCUAAAACAAGUUUUUCAGUGUCAUAGAAUGAAUUGCCUUAGCUCAAGAUAAAGGAAAGUUUGUUUAGCGAACUGAAUCUUGUUUGAAAAUAUAUCAAUAGAGACUCGAAACA
rnacentral:lncRNA from 1 species